UGCAUAUCAAAAGCGGAGGAAAAGAAACCAACAGGGAUUGCCUCAGUAACGGCGAGUGAAGCGGCAAGAGCUCAAAUUUGAAAGCUGGCUCCUUCGGGGUCCGCAUUGUAAUUUGCAGAGGAUGCUUCGGGAGCGGCCCCCAUCUAAGUGCCCUGGAACGGGCCGUCAUAGAGGGUGAAAAUCCCGUCUGGGAUGGGGUGUCCGCGCCCGUGUGAAGCUCCUUCGACGAGUCGAGUUGUUUGGGAAUGCAGCUCUAAAUGGGUGGUAAAUUUCAUCUAAAGCUAAAUAUUGGCCGGAGACCGAUAGCGCACAAGUAGAGUGAUCGAAAGAUGAAAAGCACUUUGAAAAGAGAGUUAAACAGCACGUGAAAUUGUUGAAAGGGAAGCGCUUGCGACCAGACUCGCCCACGGGGUUCAGCCGGCAUUCGUGCCGGUGUACUUCCCCGCGGGCGGGCCAGCGUCGGUUUGGGCGGCCGGUCAAAGGCCCUCGGAAUGUAACGCCCCCCGGGGCGUCUUAUAGCCGAGGGUGCCAUGCGGCCAGCCCAGACCGAGGAACGCGCUUCGGCUCGGACGCUGGCAUAAUGGUCGUAAGCGACCCGUCUUGAAACACGGACCA
rnacentral:rRNA from 1 species